UUUUCAUAUUCAAGUAAUGCCUGCAAAAAAUGAACCUGAGGAAGUGCACAAAAGAAAUAGAAAGCUACAAUUCCACUCCAUGUUGAAAGCUCUUUCAAAUAGCAUGAAUGUUGAAAGUACUUAAUUAGACUAGAGUGUUAGAUUCUUCGUUUUAUGACAUAUAGAAAUGGAAAAUCUUUUUUAAUGUGCCUAUACCCACUCAAUAUCUCUGGUAGAUCCUAACACAAAUUAUG
rnacentral:misc_RNA from 1 species